CCUACGGGAGGCAGCAGUGAGGAAUAUUGGUCAAUGGCCGCAAGGCUGAACCAGCCAAGCCGCGUGAAGGAUGACGGUUCUAUGAAUUGUAAACUUCUUUUGUACGAGGGUAAACCCCGCCCCGCGUGCCUGGCUGAAAGUAUCGUACGAAUAAGGAUCGGCUAACUCCGUGCCAGCAGCCGCGGUAAUACGGAGGAUCCGAGCGUUAUCCGGCUUUAUUUGGUUUAAAGGGUGCGUAGGCGGUUUGAUAAGUUAGCGGUGAAAAGGCUGGGCUCAACCCCGAGACUGCCUUUAAUACUGUUGGACUAGAGAAUAGUAGAGGUAAGCGGAAUGUAUGGUGUAGCGGUGAAAUGCUUAGAGAUCAUACAGAACACCGAUUGCGAAGGCAGCAUACC
rnacentral:rRNA from 1 species